CGGGGUGCCUGGUUUUGACAGCAUAGAUCUUUGAUAGUGUAAGCAUGCCGUGCGUUGGAUAAUUAGCACGAUAAUCUGAAUAUUCAAACUUUAAUUGGCGAAUCUAACUACGCCAUGGCUGCCUAAUCAGAGAUUAGACACCCAUUAUAGCCGCCCGGAGUUGUCGCCUUAUGCGACUCCCGCCGCUGAAUCAUCAAACCCAUAGGGAUAGGUGCUCAUGGUUUCUGUGAGUGAGCACUGAAGCGCAAACGGAUAAGGACGAGGUUGGUUCGUUAUGCCCCUGCUGAGUUCCGACAAACCAAUGCAUAAAUAAGCAUGUAGAAAGCUUUCGGCGAUUAUGUUUGGACACGGGUUCGAUUCCCGUCACCUCCACUG
rnacentral:tmRNA from 1 species